rnacentral:rRNA from 1 species
UACGUAGGUGGCAAGCGUUGUCCGGAUUUACUGGGCGUAAAGGGCGUGCAGGCGGUUUGUUAAGUGCAGGGUGAAAGCUCCCGGCUCAACUGGGAGAGGUCCUUGCAUACUGGCGAACUCGAGGGGGCAGAGGAAAGUGGAAUUCCCGGUGUAGUGGUGAUAUGCGUAGAUAUCGGGAGGAACACCUGUGGCGAAGGCGACUACCUGGCCUGUUCUUGACGCUGAGGCGCGAAAGCUAAGGGGAGCAAACGGGG